rnacentral:rRNA from 1 species
ACCAGCAGCUAGCUCUCUGCAACUCUCACAUGGUCGCCCACUGAAGCUAAGCAGGGCUGAGCCUGGUCAGUACCUGGAUGGGAGACAACAUGGGAAAGCUGGGUUGCUGUUGGUA